rnacentral:rRNA from 1 species
AGCUCCAAUAGCGUAUAUUAAAGUUGUUGCAGUUAAAAAGCUCGUAGUUGGAUUUCUGGUAGAAGGAAUGGACGCACCUGCGUGCCGUCCACGUCUUCUGCCAUCCUUCUGUUAACCUUUCCUGGCAUUGAUUUGUCGGUUAGGGGCUCAGAUAUUUUACCUUGAGAAAAUUAGAGUGUUUCAGGCAGGCUUAUGCCCGGAUACAUUAGCAUGGAAUAAUAGAACAGGACUUCGCCUCUUCUGUUGGUUUGAGGGGUUGAAGUAAUGAUUAAUAGGGAUAGUUGGGGGCAUUAGUACUUAACUGUCAGAGGUGAAAUUCUCGGAUUUGUUAAAGACUAACUUAUGCGAAAGCAUUUGCCAAGGAUGUUU